rnacentral:rRNA from 1 species
AGAGUUUGAUUCUGGCUCAGAUUGAACGCUGGCGGCAUGCCUUACACAUGCAAGUCGAACGGCAGCACGGGGGCAACCCUGGUGGCGAGUGGCGAACGGGUGAGUAAUACAUCGGAACGUGUCCAGUCGUGGGGGAUAACCAGUCGAAAGACUGGCUAAUACCGCAUGCGCCCGAAAGGGGAAAGCGGGGGACCGCAAGGCCUCGCGCGAUUGGAGCGGCCGAUGUCCGAUUAGCUAGUUGGUGAGGUAACGGCUCACCAAGGCGACGAUCGGUAGCUGGUCUGAGAGGACGACCAGCCACACUGGGACUGAGACACGGCCCAGACUCCUACGGGAGGCAGCAGUGGGGAAUUUUGGACAAUGGGGGCAACCCUGAUCCAGCCAUGCCGCGUGUGUGAUGAAGGCCUUCGGGUUGUAAAGCACUUUCGGACGGAACGAAAUCGCACGGGCGAAUAUCCCGUGUGGAUGACGUACCUAGAGAAGCCCCG